GUGUCAGCCGCCGCGGUAAUACCAGCACCCCGAGUGGUCGGGACGAUUAUUGGGCCUAAAGCAUCCGUAGCCGGUUCUACAAGUCUUCCGUUAAAUCCACCUGCUCAACAGAUGGGCUGCGGAGGAUACUAUAGAGCUAGGAGGCGGGAGAGGCAAGCGGUACUUAGUGGGUAGGGGUAAAAUCCGUUGAUCCAUUGAAGACCACCAGUGGCGAAGGCGGCUUGCCAGAACGCGCUCGACGGUGAGGGAUGAAAGCUGGGGGAGCAAACCGGAUUAGAUACCCGGGUAGUCCCAGCUGUAAACGAUGCAGACUCGGUGAUGAAUUGGCUUUAUGCCAAUUCAGUGCCGCAGGGAAGCCGUUAAGUUUGCCGCCUGGGGAGUACGGUCGCAAGACUGAA
rnacentral:rRNA from 1 species